UCUUCAAAACUUUCAACGACGGAUCUCUUGGUUCUCGCAACGAUGAAGAAACGCAACGAAAUGCGAUACGUAAUGUGAAUUGCAGGUUUUCGUGAAUCAUCGAAUCUUUGAACGCACAUUGCACCCUCUGGUAUUCCGGAGGGGUAUGCCU
rnacentral:rRNA from 1 species